CACCAGUACUCUUGUGCUUUGAGGCCAUUAUUAAGUGACAUAAGGGUUCCUUCCACACAAGCACUGUGACGUCACAGACCUGACAACCAGGAUGGCACCUGGGUGACAAAGCGUAGACAGCACAGAUCCAGUGGACAAAAGGAGGAGGAUUCACAUCCCAAGCAGCACAGAACAGGAUGGCACGAGAUUUCACACUUCUCAGAAAGAAUACCACUGGUGAAGACUGAAACAUUGUGUGUGUGUCUACAUGUGUCUGUGUAUGUGCAUGCAGUAUACACAUGUGCACAGCAAUCACUACAAAAGAGAAGCAGAACACGUGAAAAUAGAAGAAAUUCCGAUAGUUUUAUGCUGAGCCUUUCUUGAAAGCUCCUACAAUCAGCUAUAGGCCAAUGUGCAUCAUCUUCAACAAAGAAAGACUGUCUUAGAGACUUACUUGGAGAACAAACCAUGACAGGUACUCUGGAAUAGACUUCUGAUGACAUGGCUUAAAUACCUUUAGGAUUAUGCCACUAGACUAAGGAUUUCCAUAACUGACGGAGAAGCCGAUGGAUUCAUAAAUCCAUAACCUAAGAUCAAGCAGAAGAAAAAUUCAUCACAUGGGACAGAAUCAACCAAUAACAAAUGAUUAUAAUUUUUAUGGCUUUUUUGACUAAAUCCUUGCUGGUUGGUUAACGUUCUAUUUUCUGGAUGUAAGGAACGCUUUUCUCUUUUCUCUUAAACUAUCUAUAACUCACAAUAAUUUAAUAGAUUAUACCUUUAUAAACAAAAAUGAAAUAUUUAUCUUUUCCCCUUACCAGAUUUCUCCAAAAUUCAGAAAGUCAUAUUGAGUACUCCUAUUUUGUUGGCAAUACAGUUAUUCACAUAAGUUACUUGUUUAUUUCUUUUUUUAUUGUCUUAUGUACUGAGAAAACAGAUAUUCACACAAGUUCAAUAAGAAUCUGUUUUCCUUGUAAGAGGACACAAUUGGAAACACUGGUUAUAUUACUAAGGCUUUGACUGAAAUGUCACAUUUAAGCAUGAUGUGUAUAAAAUCAGACUUAAUCAAAGGGUUUUAAGGAACUGAACUUGACUUUAUAUAGCCAAUGCUUAAAAAGCUCCCUUGGAAAACCAGGCUGCAAUCUGGUUUAUAGGGUUCCCAGAAUUACAGGUGAAUAACGAAGGUCACUUUUUGGCAGGUUGAGGAAGCUUAGGAUAUUUUGGACACCUUGAAAAGAGAGAAAUUCACCCAAAUCUAUAGGUAUUGCAUGAAAGUCUGAUGGCAAGUUCUUAGCUUGGUUUAUUACUCUCUUUACAUUUUAAAAGUCUGAUCUCAGAUUCCUUAUUAAAAGUUUCAGAAGAGCAAGCUUAAAAAGGCCUAUGUGCUAUAUUAUCAUCUUGCUGCACUUACAUAAAUAAUCAGGCCAAAUUUAAUGAGACUAGACUCAGUUGGCAAACGCAAACAGGCAUCCUUUGAUUAUCGUUGAUCAAAAUGAGGGUGACUGUAGAGAGAAAUUCUGUUCCGAUGAAAAACUAUAACUCACCCUGGUGAGUGUUCAUUGUCACUGAGCUAUUUUCACCCCUCUGUAAACUGAACCCUGCCAUUUUGCAAUCAGUGUUUCCAAUUUCCUUCCAACCCUGUGACUUGGCAUCACUGAGAACUAAAACUGCCCUUUUCCUGACACUGGACAACUUGAUAGAACUUCGAAGAAUUUAUCAUCACAACAGUUUGGACCACUUGGGAAGCUCACCAAGAACAAACUCUGGGAAACACUCAUGAUUGUGAGCCUUGUCACUUGGUUAAACAGGUAACUAGGUGUCGUUUCAUAGUGAUCUGGGAUCAUGCCACUAUCAUCCUUGAUCAGCCAUCAAAAGACACUUGGAGUUUAACAUUUAGGAAUCUUCUCAACUGACUGCCCUCUGGACUCAAAAACUGGGUGUAUAGUCUGCUCCAAACAUUAAUCUUUGUUUUUCUUUUGUUUUCAUAGAAAUGCCCUCAUUGAGUACCUGAUUGCUCACAACACAUAAAAGGCAAAACUUCAGGGGGGCGCACUACUCCCAACUGUGAGCUACCUCCUGAAAUGAGACACAACUGUUUCAUUAGACUGGCCUAUUUCCAGUACUAAGAGACUAGUUUAAGGAGAUAGGUGGAAAUGUGCUUAGAUUUGCUUUUUUCUGCUUAUUUAUUCUCGUUCUGAUCUAUGCUCUUCUUGUCCUUUGCAGAUCUCUUACAUCUUAGGAACUAACUCAGAUCUUCUCUCCAUAGCCACCAACUCAGUUUUUGAUGUGUGAAACUUCCUGGACAGUUUCAGCCGGGUAGAAAUGAAGGAGAUCAUAAUAUGCCACCCCCAAAUAUGCCACCUUAGCACAGAAACUAUUUUGAGCUGAAACAGAUGCAGAAAUAGUUCUUUGUCUGCUCCUUGUAUGCCUGAAAGCAGAGCAUAAAUUUCCCUUUGCGAAAUAUGCUCUCUCCCCCACCCCACCAGGAAGAAAAAAAAUGAUC